rnacentral:lncRNA from 1 species
UGACCUACCUAACGUAGGUGCCAAGAAGCUUGAUGGUUCAUAACUGAGAUCUCAAAUUUAAAGUCUAAUUACUUUAUAUUUUCAAGUAAGUCUAUUUAAAAAAUGAACGACACAGAGAAGAUGCUAUUUUUCUCUCAAAAAAAUAAAAUUAAAAAAAUCUCUCUCUCCUUCACGUGCUCUUUUUUUUUUUUUUUUUUUUUUUGCUCUUCAUCUCUCUCUUCCUUUUUCACCACUUCAUCCUAAUUCAGAACUUGACAACUAAAUUGGCUACUAACUCAUCGCUCUAUUUUGAAAAACAUUUUUGCGGACACUGAUCAAACUGAAAUAGAAAUUGAACUUUAAUAUCGUGUCGAUAUCUUGUUGGUACGACACGGUAUAAUAAAUACAGCAUGUACUAAUAUACACUUAAAUUCUUGAUAUAAAUCUCUCGUUUCAACAUAAGUA